CAGUCGCCGCGGUAAUACGAAGGGUGCAAGCGUUAAUCGGAAUUACUGGGCGUAAAGCGCGCGUAGGUGGUUCAUUAAGUUGGAUGUGAAAUCCCCGGGCUCAACCUGGGAACUGCAUCCAAAACUGGCAAGCUAGAGUAUGGUAGAGGGUGGUGGAAUUUCCUGUGUAGCGGUGAAAUGCGUAGAUAUAGGAAGGAACACCAGUGGCGAAGGCGACCACCUGGACUGAUACUGACACUGAGGUGCGAAAGCGUGGGGAGCAAACAGGAUUAGAUACCCCGGUAGUCCCUGUCUCUUAUAC
rnacentral:rRNA from 1 species